rnacentral:rRNA from 1 species
AUUGAACGCUAGCGGCAUGCCUUACACAUGCAAGUCGAACGGCAGCACGGGGCAACCUGGUGGCGAGUGGCGAACGGGUGAGUAAUGUAUCGGAACGUGCCCAGUAGCGGGGGAUAACUACGCGAAAGCGUAGCUAAUACCGCAUACGCCCUACGGGGGAACGGGGGGGAUCGCAAGACCUCUCACUAUUGGAGCGGCCGAUAGCGGAUUAGCUAGUUGGUGAGGUAAAGGCUCACCAAGGCUUCGAUCCGUAGCUGGUGUGAGAGGACGACCAGCCACACUGGGACUGAGACACGGCCCAGACUCCUACGGGAGGCAGCAGUGGGGAAUUUUGGACAAUGGGGGCAACCCUGAUCCAGCAAUGCCGCGUGUGCGAAGAAGGCCUUCGGGUUGUAAAGCACUUUUGGCAGGAACGAAACGGUGCCGGAUAAUACCUGGCGCCACUGACGGUACCUGCAGAAUAAGCACCGGCUAACUACGUGCCAGCCGCCGCGGUAA